ACAGAACCUUGAAAUAUCAGUUCCAAAAUCAUUCUGUUGGUAAACUGACUUGUAAAGCCAAAGUUUUGCAGGGUUGCCAGGUUUUCACAACAAAACCUGCCCAAUUGCUGCUCAAAACUAGCCCAAAACUAGCCCAAUUAUCGGGGGGGGGGGGCUCCCCCGAUAAAAAUCGUGUUCUGGUGGAUAAAAUACACGUUUUUUGGUGGGAUUCCCCUAGUAAAAUUCGCAUUUUAGGGGCUAAAUAUCACGUUAUUUGUGUCGCUUCAACCAGUGGACAUGAAAAACAACCCGCCGCAACAGUGUUAAAGUAACUUAGCCCAAUUCCGUGAAAUGGGCGGGUUGCUUUACGGCAACAAGUACAUGCGUACAGCUACCCACUGUAAGCUAAUUACGACAGUGAUACUGUAUAUUAACAAAAGUGAAUUUCUCAGUUAUCUCUGGGGGCUCCAAAGUUGUAAAAAUAGCCUACACAAAACUAAUCUGAAAUGAUGGUUUGCGAAUCAUUAAUCAGAUCGAGACUUCGGAGCGCAGAUUGUCAAUCAUUUGAUUUAGAUCAGAACUUCAGAGCGGGUUCGUGAAUCUUUUGAUUCAGAUCAGAUAUUUGGAGCAGAUUCACAAAUCAUUUCGCGAAUUGAAUGAUUCAUAAUCUACACUCCGAAGUCCCAAUCUGAAACUUCAGAGCAGGUACUUAUUUCUUUUUUUUUUUCUUUUCUUUUUUUUUUUAUUUAACAGUACAAAAGAUCAAACCAUUACGGUAAUACAGUUAUAAAAAGAAAACAGAAAAAGAACGAAAGAGAAAACAUACAAAUUAAAUCCCUUGAGGAAAUUAACCUUAUUGUUAAAAGUCCGUGCCCUGACAUAGACUACGUUACCCAUAAUGCAUGUGUUCAUAGGUAGUUCUGCUCGCUCGUGUUGUGCUAGGCGCUUUCACUUUCGUGUGGUCCAGGGCCAUGAGAGCAGUAUUCACGGUGCAGAGAAUUGCCAUCCUCUGUUAAUCCUGCGCUAGUCUAGUGUGUAGAAGUGCUGUGUGCGUUCUUAAGAUAUAACCACACACCCACACACAACCACACCUAUUUUGUCAUAUUAAUACCUGCAAACCUUCAUCAUCUCCAUGUACCUGACUCCUCCUCAAUAAAUUCUCAAACUGCACCAUUGGAUUUGCCUAUUCCUUCUGACCGAGGAAGACUCAGUUGACGAACAAUCCAAAAUCAGCUGCUGACGCACACAGUCUUUUACAAGUGGUCCUUCGAGCCGGAUGUUUAUUGGCUGAGUCAACAAGAUGGCAACUCCACAAGAUGAAGUUCCUCAGGAGAAGAGUCCGAAGCAUAGUUCCCGUCCAAGAAGGAAUAGAAAGCUUCCAGGACAUCUGGAGGAGUAUGAGCACGACCUACCUAAUCCAGAGGAGACAGAGUCUUCAAGCAGCAGCAGUUCAGAGGAAUCUGAUGAGAAGAAGAAGAAGGAGAUGAAAAAAUGGAAGAGAAUGGAGGCAGCUUGGGGCAGUGUACUGAAAACGAUGAAUGAGAUGCAAAUCACUAUGAAGGAGACCAGUGGUGCAUUAACCAAGCGUGUGGAACAACUGGAGCGUGUAUGCAAUUCAUGCAGUCCUCUCCCUACUCAGAGUGAUGCUCAACAGCAAGAUAGAGCUGCUUCGCUUCCUGCUCUACUUCAAACACCACAGCAUAGCAGUGUGGCCAUGAGCAGCAUUCAUACUACUGAUCAGCUACACGUCCUGGCACCAGCAGAGAGGCAGGACAUUAGAACGCCCGUGAACCUGUUAAGGCCAGUAGAACCUAUUGCAUCUUUACCACUGCAAAAUGCAAAUCCCAUUCUCCAUUCAGCACCAAAAACAGCUUCACUACCUUUAAGCCCUAUUGUUCAACCUACUUCAAAUACUCAGACAGUGCCGCUGUCCCCUAACUCUGUAGCUCAACCUGCACAGCAGCCAGGCGCAGUGCUAGUACCUCAAUCUGUGCUUCAGCAACCGCCAGUGACACCGCCAGUGCUGCAGCCCAGGGUGAAUACUGCAUUUCAGCCCGCAGGUCAGUUGGCCCCUUGGCCCGCGCCACAGCCUGUUCCCCAUCUGAGAAUCCCUGUGGCCCAUCCAGUGAUUCAGCCGGCUCCACAACCUGUCAAUCAAGUAGCCCAAUCAGUACAGUUCGGGAGGCUUGAACCACGUCAGGCUGAGCCCCUAUACAGGUACCAACACCCGCAGCCUCCAGGCAGCUCCAUCCAGGUACUCUCUGCACGAUCUCAUGACUUCCCUGCAGUCUCAGUGUCACAGUAUCAGCCACCACCGGGGAUAUCAGCGCCGCAGACUUAUAGCCAGCUUUAUGCCGCUCCACCUACUGAUUCAGCCCGCUACUACUCUGCUGCUUAUCCAUCAGUCUCUGCCUACCCUUCACUGCCUGCUGCAUAUACUGCACAAGACGCAGUACCUCCUGCAGCUGAAGCCACCCAGCCAAACCUGAUGGAGAUGAUCUUAGCAUCCUCAUAUGGCAUCCCGAAGCCUAGACUGGUGACAUUCAAAUCAGGCAGAGAGUGUGACUUUGUAUUACUGAAGAAAGGACUGGACAGCCUCCUUGGGCCACAUGCUCAUCUCACAGAGGAGUAUAAAUAUCACAUCCUGAUUGAUCAGUUAGAACAUCCAUGUGCGUUACAAGUGGCCAGACGCUAUAUUCACGACCGCACUCCCUACACUAGUGCAAUGAGAGCUUUGGAGCAGAGAUAUGGGCAACCCAGACAAUUAGUCCAGAGUGAACUGAGUGCUAUACUUAAUUGCUCUCCUAUUAAGCCAGGUGAUCCUCAAGCCUUUGAAGAUUUCUCCCUGGCGGUGUCUAGCCUAGUGGGCCUCCUCAGUACUAUGGACGAUGUAGCAGCUAGUGAGCUCCAGUGUGGUUCACACGUAGACAGGUUACUCACUAAGCUUCCGCCUAGCUACAGAGACAGUUUCAUCGAGCACUGCAUCACACGUGGUAUCAUACGCACUGGCAGCAGUUGCACCUAUAAUAUGUACGACUUCUCAGGGUGGCUCGAGCGCAAGUCCCAAGUUUUACAGUUAUCACGGCAAGCCAUUCAGCCACAGCCCUCAGACAGACCACGCCCAGAGAGGGGCAACAACAGAGCCUCUGCAGGGUCCAGGGUACAGAGUAAGUCUACAUCCAUCUAUUAUGGCUCAGAUCCUGCUCAAACACAGCCGAGGAUAGACACUAAGGCCCAUAUUACUAAUCCUUCUCCCUCCUCUAAGAAGAAGCAGUUUAAGCCAUACUGCCCAUACUGCGAAGGGACAGAGCAUUACCUCAGUGGCUGUGUAGAAUUUAAGAAGCUAGACCUCAAAGCUGUAGCUUCUUGGAUAAAGGAAAAAUCCAAAUGUUGGCGCUGCGGCCGUAAACAUACCCCCGAGCAGUGCACUCUUAAGAAGAUGUGCAGCACCUGUGGAGAACAGCACUUAUUAGUGCUUCAUGACCUAGCUGAAGCGAAGAGGAGGGACCCGAAUAUCCUAACAGUGAGCACUAGCCGAGUGUUUUUGGCUCCUAUCAGUCACUCUAGCCGUGUAAUGCUUAAGGUUGUACCCAUCCAGUUACACCAUCAAAGUAAAUCUCUGGACACAUAUGCUCUUCUUGAUGAUGGCUCAGAGAAAACCAUUAUACUCCCUGCUGCUGUCAAGUUGUUAGGCUUAAUCCAGGAGGAGGAAACUCUAUCUCUGCGUACUAUUCGUCAAGAUGUGAUCCAUAUUAAAGGAGGAUAUGUCUCUUUCCAGGUGUCCCCAAAGGCCAAGCCGAAAAUACGUUACAAGAUAACACAUGCCUUUACCGCCCAACAGCUCAGCCUAGCUGAACAGUCAUGCCCAGUGGAGCUUUUAAAGGAGAAGUAUCAUCACCUACAGCGAGUGCAGCUUGAAGGGUUCAAUCAGAUACAGCCACUUGUGUUAAUCGGCUCUGACAAUGCUCACCUCAUAACUCCUGUUCGUUCUAUCCUGCGAGGCUCUGCCCAAGGACCUGUCGCCGUCUGCACCAAGCUCGGAUGGGCCAUCCAGGGUCCGAGCUGCAGUAUGCCUACACAGCAGAGGGAGGCGCACUGCCUGAACAUAUCAUGCCUUUCUCCUGCCAUUGCCCUUCAACAGGAUGUACAGCGUCUAUGGCAACUAGAUGCUCCCCUCUAUAGACCUGGGAAGGAGGUCACCCGCUCAAAGGAGGACAGAGAAGCCAUAGCCAUGUUAGAGGCCAAGACCAUCAGAGUACCUGUGGAUGGUGUAGAGCGAUACGCCACCCCCCUGCUCAGGAAGAAGGACUUCCCACAGAUGCAUGUCUCCUCUGAAGUAGUUAAAGGCCUUCUGAGGUCCACUGAGCGUAAGUUAGCUAGGAAUCCUGCCCUGGCACUCAAAUACAACCAGGAGAUCAAGAGGUUGAUAGAUUCUGGUUAUGUGGUGAAGCUGACUCCCGAAGAGAUUCAUAGCUCUGCUGAAUCUUGGUAUGUACCACACCACAUUGUACAUCAUAACAACAAAGCUCGGGUAGUCUUUAACUGCUCCUUUGAGUUCCAGGGGACCGUUCUUAACCACUACCUCCUGCCAGGACCCCCCCUUGGGCCUACACUGCUGGGUGUCCUCCUGCGUUUCCGCCAGUAUCCUGUAGCAGUGAGCGGAGAUAUAAAGGCCAUGUUUCACCAGAUCCGCCUGCUCCCUGAAGACUGCCCCCUGCUGCGGUUCUUAUGGAGAGACUGUGAAACUGAGAGGCUGCCAGAUGUAUAUGAGUGGAGAGUCCUGCCCUUUGGGACAACGUGUAGUCCCUGCUGUGCUACCUUUGCCCUUCAGAGCCAUGUAAGGGAGCACAGGGAUACCUAUAAAGACAUCUACGACUCUGUCCACACAGCUUUCUACGUGGACAACUGCCUGCAGUCCUUUUUUGACCCACAAGAGGCCAAACUGCUCAUUGACAGAAUGAGAGAGCUGCUUAUUCAAGGUGGAUUUGAGAUACGCCAGUGGGCCAGCAACAUGCCUGAGGUGGUCGCUCAUCUGCCAGGUACGGCCAGAUCAGAUAGCUGUGAACUGUGGCUAAACCUUAAAAGCCUUGAUCCUCAGGAGUCAACACUGGGUCUCAGUUGGCACUGCACUACUGAUGUUCUGGGAUACAAGCACCGCCCUGUAACCUACACAACUGUGACGCUGCGCAAUGUUUACAAAGUACUGGCCAGUCAGUAUGACCCAUUGGGUUAUAUCUGCCCCUACACUACAAGAGCAAAACUCAUUGUGCAGGCCCUGUGGAGCACAGAUAGAGGAUGGGAUGAGCCCAUAGAAGGAAACCUGCUUCAGUCCUGGCUCGAAUGGGAAAAGGAAUUGUCUUAUCUCCAGUAUAUCACCAUCCCCCGAUGUUACGCUCCUCUUCACAACAGCAAUAGUACGACAUAUGAGGCUCACAUCUUCUGUGACGCCUCAGAGAAGGCGUAUGGAGCUGUGGCCUAUCUCAGAGUCAUAGAGCAGCAGGCUCACAUCUACACCUCAUUUAUCAUGGCACGCUCCAGAGUAGCGCCCCGCAAGCAGGUGUCGAUACCCCGACUGGAGUUGUGUGCUGCGCUCACUGGAGCCCAACUGACCAAGGUACUCCAAACUGAGCUCUCACUACCCCUUCACUCAGUCUAUCUGUGGACAGAUUCCACUACAGUGCUUCAGUGGAUUCAGUCCAGCUCCUGCAGGUACAAAGUUUUUGUGGGGACUCGGAUCUGUGAGAUACAGGAGCUGACCUCUCCGGAACAGUGGGGGUAUGUGAACUCUGAUGAUAAUCCAGCCGAUGACAUCACAAGAGGGAGAUCACUGUCAGAGCUCACGGUCUCCAGCCGAUGGUCGCAGGGCCCACACUUUCUCACACAGACUCCUGACACCUGGCCGAAGCCCCCGACAGAGUUCUCAGAAUGUGGCAGUGAAGAACUCAGAAAGACCGCCUUCUGUGGACUUACAAAUGUGUCACCAAGUCUGCCAGAUCCAGCACAGUACACAUCUUUAGAUGAUUUGAUUCUGGCCACCCACCAAUCCCUGCAGGGGGCGGCUACCACCUCCUACACUGCAAGUGAGCGCCUGGAGGCAGAGACCCAGCUGCUUCAAUCUGCGCAGAAGGACAGCUUCACAGAGGAGGUCCAAGCCUUACAAGCAGGUAACUCUGUUCGCCCAAGCAGUCGUCUCAGUGCCCUUUCCCCUGAGUAUGACAGCCUCAGUGGAUUAGUCAGAGUGGGAGGCCGUCUGCGUCAAGCUACAGACAUAGACCCUGACAGCAUCCACCCAAUUGUGUUAUCACCCGAUCACCCUCUGACUCAGCUCAUUAUAAAGCACUAUGAUGUUCAGCUGUUUCAUCCUGGUGCAGAGAGACUCUAUGCAGAGUUACGCCGCACCUACUGGAUCCUCAGAGGUCGCCAGGCCAUUAAGAAACAUCAGUACCGGUGUGUGGACUGCAGGAGAUGGCGCGCCUCACCCUCUACACCAAAGAUGGCCGACCUUCCUUCAUCUCGGCUGAGACUAUACAAACCACCCUUCUGGUCUACAGGCAUGGACUGUUUUGGACCAUACCUGAUUAAGAUUGGGCGUAGGAGAGAGAAACGCUGGGGAAUCAUCUACAAAUGCCUCACCACUAGAUGCACCCACUUAGAACUCAUCUCUAGCCUUGAUACUGACUCUUUCUUAAUGUCAUUACGCAGGUUUAUUGCACGCCGGGGGAAGCCAUAUGAGCUGUGGUCCGACCGGGGUACCAAUUUCAGGGGCGGCCAUAAAGAACUACAGAGCGCUUUUGAGAGCAUGGCACCGAAGCUGCAGCAGCAACUGGCUAAGCAGACUAUCAACUUCCACUUCAACCCACCAUACUCUCCUCAUUUCGGGGGAGCUUGGGAGAGGGAAAUCCGAUCCGUUAAGUCAGCCCUGCAAGGCAUCCUGAAAGACCAAGUUGUGGCAGAGGAAGUGCUCCUAACAGCUCUCAUAGAAGUUGAAGGACUCCUUAAUUCUAAACCACUCGGAUAUGCCUCCUCUGAUGUGGCUGAUCCGGACCCCAUCACGCCGAACCUGCUGCUCAUGGGGCGGCGCGACGCUGCAUUACCACAGGCAGUAUACGGCCCUCAUGAUGCCCUUUCCAACAGAAGAUGGAAACACAGCCAGGUGAUCAGUGAUCAUUUCUGGAAACGCUUUGUCCAGAACUACCUUCCAGGGCUUCAGCUGAGACAUAAAUGGAGGAAAUCCACUGAUAAUGCUACUGUGGGACAAAUUGUGAUGAUCAUUGACUCCAACCUUCCCAGAGGGCUUUGGCUUGUUGGGACCAUCACCAAGAUUUUCCCAGGGACAGAUGGUGUUGUUCGAGCUGCGGAGGUGAAGGUUAAAGACAGUAUCUACGUUCGCCCGGUAACCAAACUGGUGGAACUCCCUGAAAUGCCUGAGGAUUUAAAUGGCACAUCUUCAAACUAGUUGACUUUUGAAUGAGUGUAUUUGCCAGGCAAAUACAGGGGCGGCUGUUAAAAGUCCGUGCCCUGACAUAGACUACGUUACCCAUAAUGCAUGUGUUCAUAGGUAGUUCUGCUCGCUCGUGUUGUGCUAGGCGCUUUCACUUUCGUGUGGUCCAGGGCCAUGAGAGCAGUAUUCACGGUGCAGAGAAUUGCCAUCCUCUGUUAAUCCUGCGCUAGUCUAGUGUGUAGAAGUGCUGUGUGCGUUCUUAAGAUAUAACCACACACCCACACACAACCACACCUAUUUUGUCAUAUUAAUACCUGCAAACCUUCAUCAUCUCCAUGUACCUGACUCCUCCUCAAUAAAUUCUCAAACUGCACCAUUGGAUUUGCCUAUUCCUUCUGACCGAGGAAGACUCAGUUGACGAACAAUCCAAAAUCAGCUGCUGACGCACACAGUCUUUUACAAUUAUUUUUAUUACAGUAAAAAAAAAACCUUUUUUUGUAGUUUAGCCUACCAUGAUUAAACUAUGGUUAGUGUAGCAAAACUAUGGUUUAACUCUAUAGUAACCUAACCUUUUUCACUGUAAGAAUUGGAUGAAUAUAAAGACUUUGGAUAGUUUCCAUGUACUUGUUUAGAUCAACUCUGAAUAAAGAAAAGAAAGGUUUAGAGCCAGAUUUUUUGUAUGUGAAAUUUAGCUAGCAGAAAACACAAAUUAAUUUAUAUUUUCCUAUAGCUUAUUCUCU
ensembl:lncRNA